rnacentral:lncRNA from 9 species
CUAGCAUCUAUCUCUGUGUGACAAUUAGGUAAAUUUGCUGCUAUGGAAUCUUGCAUUUCUCACCUCACAAGUUGAGGAAGAUUAAAGGGGAGUGGCUGCAGUAGGAAAAUUGGAUGAAAAAAGGUAGAUUUGAGAGUCUAUAGAGAAGAUUUUAGGCCUAAUGGGCUUUAGGAGGCAUUUGCAAAACUGAGCUAGACAUUGGCCUGGUUGUCAUGGAAACCAGCAGCCCUGAGAGGGAGAGAUGAGUGCUCCAGUGAGGAAGGUUCUCCCUCAAGUUCUGGGGGAUCAUAUAAACUCCCAACCCACCUUUGGGCUUGAAAUCAGCCUGUUUAGCUACCUGGCAAAUCUGCAACAUGCUACUAAAAUCAUCUCUGGAGUUAAAAGUGUUCUGUAGCUGCCUUUAUUGUGCUAGUUAAAAAAAAAAAAAUCCAUAUCUUGUUCUGAGCUCCUCCUAUCUCUUAUCUACUACAGAACAGGAGCAAAGGAGAGAAAGACUGGGCAUCGGCAAAGAACGCAUUUGGCAACGUCCUAUUGAUUUCCACUUCCUGCUUCAUCAAAUUACAGCAAAAAAAAAAAAAAUGUUUUUCACAAAUGGUGCUCAUGGGGUGUCGAUUGUCAAAAAGUGUUUGCUGAAAAACUUCUUUCACAAAAGACCUUAUUUUGGCAAGGAAGCCAUUUUUAGCAUAUUGCCUUCUUUGAAGAUGCAUCUUUGGAGUAAGGCAGAUGAGUGGCAAAAUAUCAACUGGCUAGCAGCAGAGACGCAGAAGUUGGAUUAGUGUGAAAAGCCUUGAGUGCCUCUCUCUGCUCUUUUCUCUGCUUAUUCUAAUCAGUGGAAGUUCUCACAUAUUUUGGAGGCAAUUCCCAGAUCUCAUCUACAUUCCAGAAAGCAGGCUCUAUGCAGCACACACCUGUCUUACCAUGUGUUUUCAAGAAGAGAAGUACUGCUGGGCAACAAUUCAUAUCAACUUUUUCUGGACAUCUGCUAAAUCUCCUCUUGUAAUGAGGAAUGAAUAGACACCCCUGGGGUAAUGGCUUAUUCCAGAAACUGAAGGAGGUAAUCAUGCAGGUAGUGAGCCUGAGAAGGGCUACUUAGUAGCAAGAGGACGAGACUCCACAAAGACGGUGCUUAGAAGUGACC